rnacentral:rRNA from 1 species
GGUACCCUACGGGAGGCAGCAGUCGGGAAUAUUGCACAAUGGAGGAAACUCUGAUGCAGUGACACCGCGUAUAGGAAGAAGGUUUUCGGAUUGUAAACUAUUUGAGACAGGGAAGAAAAAAGACAGUACCUGUAGAAUAAGCUCCGGCUAACUACGUGCCAGCAGCCGCGGUAAUACGGAGGGUGCGAGCGUUAAUCGGAAUUACUGGGCGUAAAGCGCACGUAGGCUGUUGUGUAAGUCAGGGGUGAAAUCCCACGGCUCAACCGUGGAACUGCCCUUGAUACUGCAUGACUGGAAUCCGGGAG